rnacentral:rRNA from 1 species
GACGUAGGAGGCGAGCGUUAUCCGGAUUCACUGGGCGUAAAGCGCAAGUAGGCGGUUGUGAAAGUCCGUUGUUAAAGCCCCUGGCUCAACUGGGGGAGGUCAAUGGAGACUUUAUGACUUGAGGGCAACAGAGGCAUGUGGAACUCCCGGUGUAGCGGUGGAAUGCGUAGAUAUCGGGAGGAACACCAGUGGCGAAGGCGGGCAUCUGGGCCAACACUGACGCUGAGGCGCGAAAGCUAGGGGAGCAAACAGG